rnacentral:lncRNA from 10 species
GGAGGAUCUUCCUUUUCCACUUCUGCAGCACCUGACAAUUCAAUAUGUGGAUCCUUCUUGGAAGUAACAGAGCAUGCUGGCCAAAGAGUUACUGCAAAAAUGCUCCUAAAUCAAGUAAACAAGGAAAAGAACAGGAGCUGAUAAUGCUGUUGUUUGUUAAUGCUCUUAUUGUAAACUACUUUUUGGAAGAUAAACCUUUUGUGGGAAGGCCAGGUACUAGGCUCCUUCAUUGCCUUAGAUGAUCCAAGAGACUGAGUAAUCAAGAUGGAGCAAAGAGCAAGAAGAGUGUCUGCAACACUUUUAACUUCACAAAGAAGUUACCAGGCAGAAGGGGACAAUUGCAGUGACUGAUUUUCCUGACAAAAUGACAGUGUCUUGACAAUGGCUAUGAAGUCUUGAUGACCCUUAACAUCUCAUAGAACAAAGAAGUCAGUAGAGCAAGGUGAAAAUGUUAAAGGAGGAAUACAAGAAACACAAAAGAAAGAUGACAGGGUGACAAGUUAAACAUAAUCCACGGAAUAAGAAACGUCAGAAGCCUCCUCCGCAGUACACCUACAAACACCUGCCCUUUUGUUAAUAGAUAAAAGAGAGCCUCUCACUGUAACUCCUUAACUUCCUUGGUGGAGGGAAAUCAGAUGGCUAGAAAGUGUGGUGGUGCCUGGUGUGAAAGACUUAACUGGGCAACACAUCCAGCAAGCUGUAUUUAACCUUCAUCAGUCUUUUAUUUGUACCCCCUAAAUCCUGGUUAUUGAAGUCUUCCAACUCCACCUCAUCUCUCCUUUUAUUGUCCCACUCAUAAAAUCUCAUAGGAGUAAAUAGAUUAGACAUAUUUACUGAUUAGGGCAGACAUAUUCCUCAUAUGUACUGAGGAAGAGUGAUAGGGGGAUCACCUUGGCCUGAAACCCUCUAUCAGGAGCCAAUUUUCAAGAAGAUAAGAAAAUAAUCAGCCACUUGUGAUCUUCUUUCCUUAAUUAUAUGAGAUCCUAUCCAAAUUUUCAAUCCACUGUCACUGACCUCUGAGGACCUUUGAUGCCUUUGACCUGGCUCUAGUGGAGUACCUUCCAUUCUUCCAAAUAGUCCCCCCAUUUGCCUUGGCCUUAAAUUCCACCAUGAAGGGGGAGUCUUUUAUUUUAAGCAUUUCUUUUUAUCUAAUAAUAAAAGAUAGAGGAAAUAAGAUAGUGGGAUUCGAAAUAACGUAACACAAAUUAAUUAUUCAUAUCAGUUUCUCUACUAGAGGAAAUGCAAUAGUUGAUUAAGGAUCAGAGGAAGGAAAAUCCUUCAAUGAAACAUUGAAAGAAAGCUGAAGAAUUUGUAGUGAGAGAAAACAAUUAUCUUAACAAACAUUUUUAUAUUAUAAUUCUUUUUCCCUUCUGGACAUCAGAUGCAGAUAAUUGAGUUCGUGAUUCAAUUCGUGGGUCAUUAUCAUCACUGGCCGCAGCAAGGCUUUAUUUGUAAAAAUUUUUUUCCAUUUUAUUUCCGUUCCUCAUUCCCAUUCCACCUCCCCACAGGUAGCUCUUCUAAUAUAUUAAAUGUGUACCUUUUUGUUUGCAUGUGUUCUUGCAAAAUGCAUAUUUUUGUGUACAUCAAAUUUACAUAAAUAAUAUCACAUCAUAAAAUUCAAUCCAUUUUAGAUUUUAUUUUCCUUGGACCAUAUUUUAAGAGCCAUGCAUGUUGCUGUGUGUACAUAUAAUCCCUUGCCUCUAACCACUACACAAUGUGCACAUUUUCCCUACAUACUCUCCCAGUGAUGUUGACCAAUAUUACCUCCAGUUAUCGCACCCCAAAUGAUGCUGAAACCAAUAUACAUGUACAUGACCCUUAUGGAACUGUGUGAGAAUUACUUUGAACUCUAUGUGCAAGAGCAAAAUUGCUGUUAAUAAAGUUAAAAUACACUUA